GUGAUUAUGUUAUCGCUCACCUAUAUGUUUAAUGUCAGCUAUGCUAAAUAACCCAUUUCUGUGUAAUUUGAGAGAAUGUUUUGACAUGUGGUUAAAGUAUGGCGUGCUAUUCAUGUUAUCAUUUAAAAAGUCGAUCCUAAAUAAAUCUGUCUUAAAAAAUACAUUUUACGAAUGACAUUUAAUAUGAUUGAUUAGAGUAUAGGUAUCCAUAUAUAAGAGAUAUUAUUUUGCAUUACAUUUAAACAUGUUUUUCUGUCCUGUUUGUCUGUCAAUUGUUGCUUUACUUCCUUUGUAAAAUGAGGUUAAAUUGAGUAUCACUGAAUAUUGUAUGCUUUUUUUUCAGGAUCAGCUAAGAUGUUAUUUCACUGGAUUAUUUAAUGGAUAGACUUAUUGGGCAUAUAUUUGGAUAUCUCUGGAUCAGCUAAGAUGUUAUUUCACUGGAUUAUUUAAUUGGGCAUAUAAUUGGAUAUCUCUGUCCUCAACAUGGAAGUUAUGUUUUAUUCCUAACCAUCUAUAAUCCAUUCUCUAUGAAGUUCAGCCUGUCUGCCCAAAUUCCUUUGGAAAUACAUAGUUAGUCAACCAACAUAGAAACAAUCAAACUUGAAGGGAAAGAAUACUACAAUGUGGCUCCUCAGGAUCAACAGUGAAAAAUCUUAAUCAAUAAUGACCCUCCUGACUAUGUCUAAAGGCUGUAACCUUUAUAGCUGAUGUAAGAUGAUCUGAUUGCAUGGCAUUAAAAUUUCCUGGUGUUUCUACCAUCCAGGAUCUUCUUAUGAGUGCAUGGGGACUGCUGUGGACCUUAACCUGUUUAUAAAAAUAUACCUUGGAGCAUGACACAUUAUUCAUAUAAGGAUUCUCAAUGGGGAACUCAGUAAAUUAUGCACAGUCUAACAGAAUAUACUCUCUUGGAACACUGAUACAAGAAUAUAAAACCAGAGAUGGAUGGAGGACUCAAGAAGCACAUGAAUAAAUAUGAUUCCAAACUAAGUCAAUCAUGAUGAUCAUGAAUUGUGGUUCACAGGAUAAGAGAGAAAGGACCCAGGAUUGUGCAUUUUUCUAGAUCCUCUCCCAUUCAUAUCCUUCAUAUGCUGGCAUACAAAACAAUAGAUAAAUUGUAGUCAUUUAACAGACUGAAGUUUAAUCAAAUCAAAGUAUUGAAAAUGUGUUUUUCUGAUAGUAUGAGAUCUUCAAAAAACUAAUUCUCACAGAUUUCAAAAUAUCUAAAUUUAACUUUUAAUUUAUGUAGUACAAAUUGAAUACAGUUGUUAUGUAUGACUUUUAUACAUUGAAUCCUUAAUUUUUCAUCUUAUAUCUACAACACCCCUAGAAAAUACACAGAUGUUUAGAAGCUAGCUUUGGUGUAAUUAUUACUUUCCUGGAACUGUAAAUACAUUUUGUUUGUGUAUGUGUGUGUCCUAUUUUGAAUUUAAUAGGUCUCAAUAGGACCCCCCUAAAGAUGCAGGUGUCCCCUUAUCUGUGAUGUAAUAAUAUCUUGAAUAUUUAUAUCACCCCAUAGACUUCAUGCUUACUUCACAGAACAGGUUAGAGUAAUACACUUAGUUUUACAUGAUAAUUUGUCAAGGUCAAAGCAUGAGAUUAUUGAGAUAACUACCUUUCAAAAUAAUUUGUAACCUUCAAACUUCACAUCAUAUGUAAAGAAUGAAUCGGAGAUUUUCUAUAUAUUUUUGGAUUAUUUUUUUCCUGGGUAAAAUUUAGUUGUUGUAACUUUAACAUUUUGUGAUAACUUAGAGACUUUAUAUCAGCUUUAUUGGGUGGCAUAGGAUAUUCUUUGGUAAGAAUUGAAAUGUAAAUCAUAUGCACUAUGUUCAAGGAUGUUUAAAGACUAUUACUAUGUAAUACCUUAGAAUUCUGUAAAAAUCUUAUCACUGCAUAGAUAAAGACUGGUUGGAAUAAUAUAUGUUUUGAAAUAAGGUUUAGGGAAAAAGUCAAGAAUGUGGAUAUGACUUUUAUUCAAAUGGUGCAGUACAGCAACUCUGGUGAUUUACAUACCUUCAGUCAUAAAUAGAUAGGUAUUGGGAAGACUCCUCUAGAUUUUGAAAUUUUCAUUCAAAAGUAUAGAACUUUUUUUAAAGUUUGAAAGAUUAAAUGGCAGCAUAUCAUUUGCUUAUGAAUUAAAAAACAAAUUCAAACAUAUACAUCUUUGGAUGAUAAUUGUAGAAUUUUAUCAAUUCCUGGACUUCCAUCUUGAUAUCAUCCUUUAAUGUCUUUAAAAUUUUAAUGAUUGUCUUUUAGUUUGAAUUGAAUUAGUUUCUUUUCUACAUGUGAAAAUGACAUCAUCCAAAGAAGUUCUUCAUCUGCAUGUUAUAUGAAGAAGACAAUUUUCAUCACAGUGAAAGAGAUUGUUUUGUUAAACAUAAUGCAUUGAUGCACAAAUAUAUUUUUAAAUUUCUAAUAGCAAGGGUUCAUAUUUCUUUAUAUGGAAUGCUAAGUACUGUUGAUUUCAUUUUUUUUAUGAACAAAGACAUACUAGUAGAAAAAAUGUACAUGAUGUGUCAGAAAAGCAUGCAGAAACUUGAUGACUUUAUCAUUGCUGAUUAAAUCAAAUUAUGAGUUUCAUCUUUGUUACAUUGUAAUCAUUUCUAAGUAGGGCACACAAUAGAAACUUAAAAUUAUUAUAUCAGGGUUUAACACAACAAUUCCAAAUGAUUUUUGGACGCUUUUUAUGUAUCAAUAAGACAAAACAGAAUGUUUGUUCACAGAUGUUCCAA